rnacentral:rRNA from 1 species
AUUGAACGCUGGCGGCAGGCCUAACACAUGCAAGUCGAACGGUAACAGGAAACAGCUUGCUGUUUCGCUGACGAGUGGCGGACGGGUGAGUAAUGUCUGGGAAACUGCCUGAUGGAGGGGGAUAACUACUGGAAACGGUAGCUAAUACCGCAUAACGUCGCAAGACCAAAGAGGGGGACCUUCGGGCCUCUUGCCCUCGGAUGUGCCCAGAUGGGAUUAGCUAGUAGGUGGGGUAACGGCUCACCUAGGCGACGAUCCCUAGCUGGUCUGAGAGGAUGACCAGCCACACUGGAACUGAGACACGGUCCAGACUCCUACGGGAGGCAGCAGUGGGGAAUAUUGCACAAUGGGCGCAAGCCUGAUGCAGCCAUGCCGCGUGUAUGAAGAAGGCCUUCGGGUUGUAAAGUACUUUCAGCGGGGAGGAAGGGAGUAAAGUUAAUACCUUGGCUCAUUGACGUUACCCGCAGAAGAAGCACCGGCUAACUCCGUG